rnacentral:rRNA from 1 species
UACAGAGGGUGCAAGCGUUGUCCGGAAUUACUGGGCGUAAAGCGCACGUAGGCGGCUUUGUAAGUUAGAGGUGAAAGCCCAGGGCUUAACCCUGGAAUUGCCUUUAAGACUGCAUCGCUAGAAUUGUGGAGAGGUAAGUGGAAUUCCGAGUGUAGAGGUGAAAUUCGUAGAUAUUCGGAAGAACACCAGUGGCGAAGGCGACUUACUGGACACAUAUUGACGCUGAGGUGCGAAAGCGUGGGGAGCAAACAGG